rnacentral:rRNA from 1 species
GACGAACGCUGGCGGCGUGCUUCAUACAUGCAAGUCGAGCGGGGUCCAUCCAGUGGCAACACUGGUGAAGACCUAGCGGCGAACGGGUGAGUAACACGUGAGGAACCUGCCCCAGAGACCGGGAUAACCCUCCGAAAGGAGAGCUAAUACCGGAUGCCCCCACCGGAUCGCAUGGUCUGGUGAGGAAAUGGAUUCCGCUCUGGGAGGGCCUCGCGGCCUAUCAGCUUGUUGGUGAGGUAACGGCUCACCAAGGCGUAGACGGGUAGCUGGUCUGGGAGGACGAUCAGCCACACUGGGACUGAGACACGGCCCAGACUCCUACGGGAGGCAGCAGUAGGGAAUCUUGCGCAAUGGGCGAAAGCCUGACGCAGCAACGCCGCGUGGGGGAUGAAGGCUCUCGGGUUGUAAACCCCUUUCAGCAGGGACGAUUAUGACGGUACCUGCAGAAGAAGGACCGGCCAACUACGUGCCAGCCGCCGCCGUAA